rnacentral:lncRNA from 1 species
UCGUGCAUAUGUGUAGUCGCAUCACUAGCUACACAUGUCCAUUCAUCAGGUACAAUGCCAACUUAAAUAUGAGAGAAGGAAAGCGACACUACUAGAACGAACUAAAAUAGAAGAGGUAACCAGAGGAGUGCGGAAAGCGGUAUCACAAGGAAGAUAUGUAAUAAGAGGAGGCAUCCCAAGGAGUAGCUUGAUGAGCGGCAACUGAAAUAGGAGAGGAGGCAUCCCAAGGAGUUCAGAAAGUGGCACCACAAGAAGCAACCGGAACAUGUAUCUGAAAGAAUGCGAGAAACGACACCACAAGGAAGAUCCUACACAUUUUUUUACCUCCAGAUUUGCAAGUAUUGAAUCGCCUCUAAUGAUAUUCUGAUAACAGUUUUUUUCGUCAAGUCCUGAAAUGUUUUUGUUAUAAGUAUUGAAUCCUCUAUGUGUGAUUGUUAGAGACUUGUUUCCUCCUUAUAUUUGGGGUAUUCAGUUUGUCAUUUUUGCAAAUUCUCAAGGCGUUCGGGCCAGUCCCCAGAGAAAGCAAAUAAAGGCAUGAUUUUGGCACUGUUGCUGAAAUCAUUCUUAAUUUGCUGGAUGCUGAGUUGCUGUUUUUGAUGACUGCCUAUAUGUGUUUUGGAAAGGGUUCCAAUAAUUCUGCUCUUUGGUUGCUUCAUCUGUAUUCUCUAACUAACUUUUCAUGAAUUUCAGGCUAGCUAGCUACCUUAUUCAGGGGAGACGAUUAUCUGAAAAAAAUCAGGAAACAGGACAUAUUUGCCAGUAUGGGGGCGAGCCAGAUUAUGAUAGCAUCUCCUGCAUCUGUUAUGGAUGUCGAACUUGGAUGAGUAAAUUUUCCUUUUUUUGCUGGCGAAUUUUGAAUGAAAUAGUGGUUAGAUUUCUUCCAAUGUGUUUGAUAUGUUAUUUUGUAUCUAGGUCUAGCUAUUAGUAAUAUAUGAAUUUGUUAGGGAGAAAUUUAUGUUUUAUUUUAAUUUUAUGGAAUGAUUAAUUGUGCAAAAUUUAGUUAUUCAUGUAUUAUUCUACUUCUA